CAAAAUCAGAGCUUGGCAUGGCUCUCUGCUGGCACCGUGCAGGGUGUGAUUACAUCAGAUCUGUGCAACUCAGAUCUUGGGGAGGGGUUGGGGGGUGGAAGGUGGAGGGAGGAAGGGAGAGAAAACAGAGGGCGGGAAGAAGGGAAGGAAGUGAAGAAGGGAAUGAGGGACGGAAAGAGAGAGACAGCGAAGAGAGGAGAAAGCAUCUCUGAGGUUGGGGUGCAUCUUAACAUCAUUGUCCACAAACUGUCCUGUGCUGUCAUUUUCCCUGUGUCUGAACAAACUUGGUAGUUACACCCGUGACUUGAUUGGGUGACCUCAACCUUUGAUGUUUCAGUCAAUGAACCAUUCAGGCAUCAUUGAGAUCAUUUUCAUCUUGCUUAUUUUCCUGAACAUCUUUCUGUGAAAAUCAAACAAGUCCAAGGAUCAAACUCCCAGGUGUCAACAGCUUGGAAGGGUUCCACACACUUUUAAGAAAUUUUCUGGCCAGGCACGGUGGCUCAUGCCAGGAAUCUCAACACUUUGGGAGGCUGAGGUGGGCAGAUAGCUUGACGCCAGAAAUUCAAGACCAGCCUGGGCAACAUGGCAAAAGCCUGUCUCUGUGGAAAAUACAAAAAUUAGCCAGGCGUGGUGGUGUGCGCCUGUAAUCCCAGCUACUCAGGAGGCUGAGGCAGGAGAAUCGCUGGAACCUGGGAGGCAGAGCCUGCAGUGAGCUGAGAUCGCGCCACCGUACUCCAGACCGAGCGACAGAGCAAGACUCGGUCUCAAGAAAAGAAAAAAAAAAAAUGCAACUGAAGGAAACCUAGUGUGCAGAAAUGUUUUGAAGAAAACUUCAAAAAAAAAUUCUAUUAGUCUUAAAGAUAUGAGAAGAUAUUACAUCCAUUAAAGAAGAAUAAUUUACCAUAAAAAAUUCAAACAAUGAAAAGGGCUCUUAAAAAUUUAAAACAUGGCUGGGCACAGUGGCUCACACCUGUAAUCCCAGCACUUCGGGAGGCCGAGGCAGGCAGAUGACCUCAGGUCAGGAAUUUGAGACCAGGCUGGCCAACAGGGUGAGACCCCAUCUCUACUAAAAAUACAAAAAAUUAGCUGGGCAUGGUGGUGUGAGCCUGUAAUCUCAGCUACUUGGGAGGCUGAGGCAGGAGAAUUGCUUGAACCCAGUAGGCGGAGGUUGCAGUGAGCCGAGAAAAGAAAAAGAAAAAAGAAAUUUGUGAGAGCUGAGCAUAAGCCACACUAAAUGCACACACAGGAAAUAUUAAUACGUAUUAGUUAUGUUUUGAGGGCAUAUGUUCACAAAUACAAAACCUCUGGGGAGGCUGAGGCGGGUGGAUCAUGAGGUCUGGAGUUCAAGACUAGCCUGGCCAACACAGUGAAACCCCCUCUCUACUAAAAAUACAAAAAUUAGCUGGGCGUGGUGGCAGGUACCUGUAGUCCCAGCUACUCGGGAGGCUGAGGUGGGAGAAUUGCUUGAACUCGGGAGGCAGAGGUUACAGUGAGCCAAGAUUGUGCCACCACGCUCCAGCCUGGGUGACAGAGCAAGACUCUGCCUUUUCUUUCUCAAAAAUCCCUGGAGUCUGCCUUUGCUUCAGAAAUUAGUUUAUCCAGCUAUACUUGAUGGAAAACCCAGUGUUUCAGUAGCAGAAAGAGCUUUGUGGUGUAAGCCAUUCUAGAAUAAGUAGACAGGCUAGGGGUCUCUUCCGUGGGAUGCCAGUUAGCUGUGUCCCAAAGACAGACCUCAAAGACUCCAUCCCAGGGACACAAUGCCUCUCCCGAAGCUAGGACUCUGGAAUCAGGACACAGGUUGCUCUCUCUGGACAUAUUUCUCUAAGUAAACAAGUUGCUCUUCCUUAGAGUAGCUGUUGUGUUGCUGUAUUCCCAUCACAUUCCCAGGGGUGUGAAAUAGUAGACUCUCCAGUCUACUAGAGAUGGGGCCAUUUUCUCAGCAACACUUGCUUGUUAUAUCCUGUUAAAAAAUCUUAACGUAGAAAAAUGGGCAAAACAUAAAUGUAUAACUCCAUGAACAACUGCAAAGUGAAAACAUAUAUAGUCAAUAUACAUAUUUUAAAAAAUAAAACAUUGUGGGCGGGCACGGUGGCUCACAUCUGUAAUCCCAGCACUUUGGGAGGCCGAGGCAGGCGGAUCACCUAAGGUCGGAAGUUCGAGACCAGCCUGCCCAACAUGGAGAAACCCUAACUCUACUAAAAAUACAAAAUUAGCCGGCAUGGUGGCACAUGCCUGUAAUCCCAGCUACUCGGGAGGCUGAGGCAGGAGAAUCGCUUGAACCCGGGAGGCAGAGGUUGCGGUGAGCGAAGAUCACACCAUUGCACUCCAGCCUGGGAAACAAGAGCGAAACUCCAUCUCAAAAAAAAACAUUGCCAACACACCAAAAGCCCCAAACAGUAUCUGCUAUCAUUGCUAUCAUUACUUAAACACUGUGGUAUAAUUUUUCCAAUUAUUGAAUUUUGAUUUUUUAGUAUAUUCACAAGAUUUUGCAGCCGUCACUAUAAUUUAGAGUAUUUUUGUCCUCUGUCAAAGAACCCCCCCAUACCCAUUCGCUGCCACUUCAUACUCCCCACAUUCUGUCCCCACCCUAAAGACCUACUUUUUGUCUCCAUAGAUUUACCUUUUCUGGACACUUUAUAUAAAUGCAAUGAGUCUUUUGUGACUAGCUUCUUUAACAGCAUAAUGCUUCAAGGUUCAUCCAUGUUAUCGAAAGUAUGGAUAUGUCAUAUCUUUUUAUUGCCAAAUAACAGUCCAUUGUGUGGCUGUACCAAUAUUUUAUGUAUUCAUUCCUCAGCUGAGAGACAUUUGGCUGGUUUUCACUUUCUCGCUAUUAACAAUAAUGCAGCUCUGAACAUUUGUGUACAAUAAAAAUAAAUAGCAUCCUACAAUUAAUAUGGAAACAGCAGAAAUUUAUUUCUCAUAAUUCUGGAGGCUGAGAAGUUCCAUAUCAAGGAUCUGAUAGAUUCAAUGUCUGGUGAGGAAAUGCUUCAUAAAUGGUUCAUAAAUGGUGCUUUCUUGCUGUGUCUUCAUGGUGGAAGGGGUAAGGUCUUCCUGGGGCCUCAUUUGUUUACGUAUGUAUUCAUUUAUAUUUUUGGAGACCCAGCCUGCAUCUGGUUUCCCCUUCUUCCUUGAAUGUAAACCCUAGAAAGCUGGGCUUUCUUUUGAGAGCUUGGGAGAUUUUUGUCUCAACUCAAAGAGACUAGAGGAUGACCCAUCUAUUUUUUCAUUAGUUUUAAACUCAGCUUUUUUACUUCCUGUAGAGUUUCAGAAUUUGGCAAAAGUCUCAAGGCUCAAGCUGGUUGUCUGAAGCCUUUCAAACCCCCAGUUUUAUCACCACAUAUGAGGCCAGUGAAGGAGUGUGGCUCCGAUAGGAUUGACAACUACUACCUUAGAUGAUGAAUCAAGCUCAGAAGGGAUCCCUCUGGAUUUCCCUGCGGUGAAGAAACCGAGGCAAUGAACAAAGUAAUAUACCCAAGAUCACAUUGCCAGUGAAUGGGAGAGCUGACGUUUCAAUCUACACAGAACCUGUGCUCUUAGCUAUCUAACCGCUUUACUUGGAAGUGAUGUGAGAUUAAAAAAAGAAGAAAAACAAAAUAUUUUCUUAUGCUUUCAAAAAGUUCAAAAGUAAGUUACAAGAUUUAUGCUGCAUUUUAAUCUAUGAUCUUGAUUACUCAUCAAUUGGAUUAUGUACCCACUUUUUUUUUUUUUUUUUUUUUGAGAUGGAGUCUCACUCUGUCUCCCAGGCUGGAGUGGAGUGCAGUGGUGUGAUCUUGGCUCACUGCAACCUCCACCUCUCUGGUUCAAGCAAUUCUCCCACCUCAGCCUCCCAAGUGGCUGGGGUUACAGGCCCACACCACCACGCCCAGCUAAUUUUUGUAUUUUUAGUAGAGACAGGGUUUUGCCAUGUUGGUUAGGCUGGUUUCAAUCUCCUGACCUCAGGUGAUCCUCCCACCUCAGCCUCCCAAAGUGCUAGGAUUCCAGUCAUAAGCCACUGUGCCCGGCCUGUAUUCACUAUUUAUUUUUAUUUUUUGAAAUUUUUGUGGGUACCCAGUAGGUGUAUACAUAUAUAUAUUUUAACUCUUGAAAAUUUUUGAAUAUUCACUAUUUUAUAACUCCAUACAAGUAUUUUAAACUAAUUUUCUGGUUUUUCUAGUUAUUAAUUUUUUUACCUUAACUCAAAUAAAGAAUAAUUUAAAAGGUGAAGUGUUACAAGUUAAGAGACUCAAGUUCUAGUCUUGGCUUUGCCAUGAAAUUACUGUGUGAAUUUGGUCUAGGCUUUGGUUUCCUCAUGUUUGUUAGCAUGUUCCUCUCUUUAGCUAAAACAGUUCAGUGUAUGUAAAGUGUCAUUCUAUGAACUGAAGAGAUCCUGCCUGUUGAGUUGCAGAUGGCUGGGCAGGUUGCCAAGGGGCUGGUUUCUCCAUGCUGGCUUUUGUGUCUGCAUGCUACAGUUCCCCCCGCACGUCUUGACUACUCACCAGCACAAGAUAUCACACAGACAUGCUUGAGCUGGCCAGGAUCCAGGAUGAUAUUUAGAAAGAAGAGAAUAAAAGCUUAAGGAUGAUCAAGUCCUCUUAAGUAAUAUUAAACAAAAGCAUACUAUUUUCCUUCUAAUUUCCUCUCAAGGCACUUCUCAUGUUAGCAAAGAAAAUGACAAGAUGAGUGUCAGCCUGUCAUAUUUUCUGAUGUAAUGUAUGGGCUAGUAGCUCAUCACAAAAUCAACCAUUUUAUAGGAACUAGAUAAGUUUCAGUGCCAAGCCUUGUUCUCAAGCAGCAGGAUGCCUGCUAAGCAGGGUCCAUAUAAGCUAGAGUUUUGAAAUUAUAGUGAUAUUUUUAUUUUAAGGCAUUCAAGAGCAAAAGCAAAUAGUGGAAGGUUCUCAUUCAUCAAAUGCAAUGACCUUAUUGUUUAGAAAAAAUAAGAUGUGACUAUUACCAAAAAUGCUAUUUUAAAAGUAUAAUCACCUUCUUUUCAGUCUGCCAUGAAAAUUCAUGGAGACCAAAAAUGAUUAAUACAUUAUUUUGUAACUUGCUACCCAAAACAGGGUGGUUUGUUUUCCAAAUUUUGUAUUCUUUGCAUAUUUAAAGUUACUUACUGAGAGUUUUCCAUGUGUAAGGAAUUGAAGGAACAAACUCACAAUCUCUGUUACAAGAUUUAAAAGAAAUUUUUGGAGGCACAUGAACAUCUGCAAUUUCAUUUGUAAAGUAUCCAAGAAUCUGUCGCCUUAGUAACAAUCAAAUGCAUUAAAUGCUAAACGCUGAUUAAAUAGAGUUGAAAAUGGAUUUGUUAGUUAUCCCUCUAAGAAUUUUAACUCCAGCCGCUAGCCCUCUCCUCCCCUUUGCAAUGCAACUAUGCCUUCAAAUAGUGUUCUUUAAAAGGAGGCUUUACGGCUUUGGAGGAAUAAGCUGAUUUCACAGCCAGUUUUGCCACUGCUGUGGAAAACAGAGUACACAUGCAAGACUGCUGAAGUCAUACAAACUGCAAGGAUUAUGGCUGUGGGGGCCUCCACAACUCCUGUCAAACUGCAAUUGGAAACAGCUUCUCCAAAGGACAACAUGAGAAAUCAGGAAUUCUUGUCCAUGGCUCCCCAACCUGCUGGGUUUCUAAUCAGGCCUGGCAUGACCCAUUAGAGAUCAGACAUAGGAAAAUCACAAUGAAACUAGGGUAUCUUCUGUUUUCCAAGCUUCACUCCCCCAGAUCCUUUUCAAGCCUGUAAUUAUUGUCUCUCACCAGUUAAUAAGGGAACCGUUUCUCCAUGGGGACAGGAGCUUCUGGAAGGCUGGACCCAAUCAUUACAGGCUCAGUCCAGGGCCUUUCCUUCACACCAACUACUGCAGCCACUCCCAGAGCCCCUGGAACUCCGGCCCAAGGCUCUCUGACUGACUCCUUCCCAGAUCUUCUCGGCUUAGCAGCUGAAGACUGACACUGCCCGAUCACCUCGGAAGCCCCCUAGACCAUCACGGACGCCGAGCUGCCAGUAACUCUCACAGUGGAAGGUAAGCCCAUCCCCUUCUUAAUCAAUACGGAGGCUACCCACUCCACAUUACCUUCUUUACAAAGGCCUGUUUCCCUUGCCUCCAUAACUGUUGUGGGUAUUGACGGCCAGGCUUCUAAAUCUCUUAAAACUCCCCAACUCUGGUGCCAACUUAGACAAUACUCUUUUAAGCACUCCUUUUUAGUUAUCCCCACCUGCCCAGUUCCCUUAUUAGGCCGAGACACUUUAACUAAAUUAUCUGCUUCCCUGACUAUUCCUGGGCUACAGCCACACCUCAUUACUGCCCUUCUUCCCAAUCCAAAGCCUCCUUUGCGUCCUCCUCUUGUAUCCCCCUACCUUAACCCACAAGUAUAAGAUACCUCUACUCCCUCCUUGGUGACCGAUCAUGCACCCCUUACCAUCUCAUUGAAACCUAAUCACCCUUACCCCGCUCAACGCCAAUAUCCCAUCCCACAGCAUGCUUUGAAAAGACUAAAGCCUGUUAUCACUCUCCUGCUACAGCAUGGCCUUUUAAAGCCUAUAAACUCUCCUUACAAUUCCCCCAUUUCACUUGUCCUAAAACCAGACAAGCCUUACAAGUUAGUUCAGGAUCUAUGCCUUAUCAACCACAUUGUUUUGCCUAUCCACCCCAUGGUGUCAAACCCAUAUACUCUCCUAUCCUCAAUACCUCACUCCAUAAUCCAUUAUUGUGUUCUGGAUCUCAAACAUGCUUUCUUUACUAUUCCUUUGCACCCUUCAUCCCAGCCUCUUUUCACUUUCACUUGGACUGACCCUGACACCCAUCAGGCUCAGCAAAUUACCUGGGCUGUACUGCCCCAAAGCUUCACAGACAGCCCCCA
rnacentral:lncRNA from 1 species